rnacentral:rRNA from 1 species
UACGAAGGGGGCUAGCGUUGUUCGGAUUUACUGGGCGUAAAGCGCACGUAGGCGGAUCCUUAAGUCAGGGGUGAAAUCCUGGAGCUCAACUCCAGAACUGCCUUUGAUACUGGCGAUCUCGAGUCCGGGAGAGGUGAGUGGAACUGCGAGUGUAGAGGUGAAAUUCGUAGAUAUUCGCAAGAACACCAGUGGCGAAGGCGGCUCACUGGCCCGGUACUGACGCUGAGGUGCGAAAGCGUGGGGAGCAAACAGG